rnacentral:rRNA from 1 species
CGUCUGGAAAGGCGCGCGAUACAGGGUGACAGCCCCGUACACAAAAAUGCACAUAUUGUGAGCUCGAUGAGUAGGGCGGGACACGUGGUAUCCUGUCUGAAUAUGGGGGGACCAUCCUCCAAGGCUAAAUACUCCUGACUGACCGAUAGUGAACCAGUACCGUGAGGGAAAGGCGAAAAGAACCCCGGCGAGGGGAGUGAAAAAGAACCUGAAACCGUGUACGUACAAGCAGUGGGAGCACGCUUAGGCGUGUGACUGCGUACCUUUUGUAUAAUGGGUCAGCGACUUAUAUUCUGUAGCAAGGUUAACCGAAUAGGGGAGCCGAAGGGAAACCGAGUCUUAACUGGGCGUUAAGUUGCAGGGUAUAGACCCGAAACCCGGUGAUCUAGCCAUGGGCAGGUUGAAGGUUGGGUAACACUAACUGGAGGACCGAACCGACUAAUGUUGAAAAAUUAGCGGAUGACUUGUGGCUGGGGGUGAAAGGCCAAUCAAACCGGGAGAUAGCUGGUUCUCCCCGAAAGCUAUUUAGGUAGCGCCUCGUGAAUUCAUCUCCGGGGGUAGAGCACUGUUUCGGCAAGGGGGUCAUCCCGACUUACCAACCCGAUGCAAACUGCGAAUACCGGAGAAUGUUAUCACGGGAGACACACGGCGGGUGCUAACGUCCGUCGUGAAGAGGGAAACAACCCAGACCGCCAGCUAAGGUCCCAAAGUCAUGGUUAAGUGGGAAACGAUGUGGGAAGGCCCAGACAGCCAGGAUGUUGGCUUAGAAGCAGCCAUCAUUUAAAGAAAGCGUAAUAGCUCACUGGUCGAGUCGGCCUGCGCGGAAGAUGUAACGGGGCUAAACCAUG